rnacentral:rRNA from 1 species
CUACGGGGUGCUGCAGUCGAGGAAAUUUUACAAUGCUCGAAAGAGUGAUAAAAUGAGUCAGAGUGUUUCUUUUAAGAAACUUUUUUCUGAUGUAAAAAAUCAGAAGAAUAAGGACUGGGUAAGACCGGUGCCAGCCGCCGCGGUAAUACCGGCGGUCCAAGUUGCAUCCACAUUUAUUGGGUCUAAAACAUCCGUAGCUUGUUUUAUAAGUCUCUUGUGAAAUCUUAUAUCUCAAAUAUAAGGCGUGCAAGAGAUACUAUAUUACUUGAGACCGGAAGACGUAAAGAGUAUGAUUGAGGUAGCGGUAAAAUGUUUUGAUCUUAAUCAGACUAACAAUAGCGAAGGCACUUUACGAGUACGGUUCUGACAGUGAGGGAUGAAGGCUAGGGUCGCGAAAGGGAUUAGAUACCCUUGUAGUC